rnacentral:tRNA from 1 species
AUUUUAUUAGUAUAUCAGUACAUCUAACUUCCAAUUAGAAAGUUUUUUUAAAUAAAAUA